rnacentral:rRNA from 1 species
UGGCUCAGGACGAACGCUGGCGGCGUGCCUAACACAUGCAAGUCGAGCGAGGAGAUCCUCGGGAUGAUCCUAGCGGCGGACGGGUGAGUAACACGUGGGCAACCUGCCUCAUAGAGAGGAAUAGCCUUCCGAAAGGGAGAUUAAUACCUCAUAACAUUGCAGUUUCGCAUGGAACAGCAAUUAAAGGAGUAAUCCGCUAUGAGAUGGGCCCGCGGCGCAUUAGCUAGUUGGUGAGGUAACGGCUCACCAAGGCGACGAUGCGUAGCCGACCUGAGAGGGUGAUCGGCCACAUUGGGACUGAGACACGGCCCAGACUCCUACGGGAGGCAGCAGGUGGGGAAUAUUGCACAAUGGGGGAAACCCUGAUGCAAGCAACGCCGCGUGAGUGAUGACGGCCUUCGGGUUGUAAAGCUCUGUCUUCAGGGACGAUAAUGACGGUACCUGAGGAGGAAGCCACGGCUAACUACGUGCCAGCCGCUGC